rnacentral:rRNA from 1 species
UUAGAGUUUGAUCCUGGCUCAGGAUGAACGCUAGCGGCAGGCCUAAUACAUGCAAGUCGAGGGGUAUAGUAGCAAUACUAGAGACCGGCGCACGGGUGCGUAACGCGUAUGAAAGGUGUCCGAAUCACUGGGAUACCCCCCGGAAACGGGGAUUAAUACCGGAUGGUCCAUUUUUGAGGCAUCUCUAGAUUGGUAAAGCUCAGGCGGAUUCGGGUCCUCAUGCGUAUGAUUAGCUAGUUGGCGGGGUAACGGCCCACCAAGGCGACGAUCAUUAGGGGUCCUGAGAGGGAGGUCCCCCACACUGGUACUGAGACACGGGCCACACUCCUACGGGAGGCAGCAGUAGGGAAUAUUGGGCAAUGGGCGCAAGCCUGACCCAGCCAUGCCGCGUGCAGGAAGAAGGCCCUCUGGGUUGUAAACUGCUUUUGGACGGGGACAAAACGGCAAUGCGUUGCAAAUUGAGUGUACCGUCAGAAUAAGCACCGGCUAACUCCGUGCCAGCAGCCGCGGUAAUACGGAGGGUGCAAGCGUUGUCCGGAUUUAUUGGGUUUAAAGGGGUGCGUACGCGGCCUUAUAAGUCAGUGGUGAAA